rnacentral:rRNA from 1 species
GAGACAGCAGUCGCCGCGGUAAUACAGAGGGUGCGAGCGUUAAUCGGAUUUACUGGGCGUAAAGCGUGCGUAGGCGGCUUCUUAAGUCGGAUGUGAAAUCCCUGAGCUUAACUUAGGAAUUGCAUUCGAUACUGGGAAGCUAGAGUAUGGGAGAGGAUGGUAGAAUUCCAGGUGUAGCGGUGAAAUGCGUAGAGAUCUGGAGGAAUACCGAUGGCGAAGGCAGCCAUCUGGCCUAACACUGACGCUGAGGUACGAAAGCAUGGGGAGCAAACAGGAUUAGAUACCCCCGUAGUCCCUGUCUCUUAUAC